rnacentral:pre_miRNA from 1 species
UGCUGUCCCAGGUGCUGGAUCAGUGGUUUGAGUCUGAGCCUCUAAAGGCUACUCUAGCAACGGAUUCUGUGAUUGGAGCCAUGACAA